rnacentral:snRNA from 1 species
AUCGCUUCUCGGCCUUUUGGCUAAGAUCAAGUGUAGUAUCUGUUCUUAUCAGUUUAAUAUCUGAUACGUCCCCCAUCGGGGGACUACAUAUUAAAUGGAUUUUUCGAACAGGGAGUCGGAAAUGGGGCUUGCUCC